AAUCCAUAGGUUAAUGAGGCGAACCGGGGGAACUGAAACAUCUAAGUACCCCGAGGAAAAGAAAUCAACCGAGAUUCCCCCAGUAGCGGCGAGCGAACGGGGAGGAGCCCAGAGCCUGAAUCAGCAUGUGUGUUAGUGGAAGCGUCUGGAAAGGCGCGCGAUACAGGGUGACAGCCCCGUACACAAAAGCGCAUGUGCUGUGAGCUCGAUGAGUAGGGCGGGACACGUGGUAUCCUGUCUGAAUAUGGGGGGACCAUCCUCCAAGGCUAAAUACUCCUGACUGACCGAUAGUGAACCAGUACCGUGAGGGAAAGGCGAAAAGAACCCCGGCGAGGGGAGUGAAAAAGAACCUGAAACCGUGUACGUACAAGCAGUGGGAGCCCCACCACCAAAGCAUUUGCUGUACCGCGUUGACGGAGCGAAGCGACGUCAAACCGAUAAAACAGCAGUGUAAAGUGAGC
rnacentral:rRNA from 3 species